GUCAGCUUUCCUUCUUGACCUAGCUGCUUUUACUGCACUUGCAAUACUGGUGUUCCGUGUUACGCUGGGCUACAAACAGACUAGGGAUAGAUACCAGCUUCUUGUUAAUAAGACGCUCUAUGAGAAGACAUUAGCAAGUGGCUUUGGUUCAGUUUACUUUCUUCUAGAUGCUUCCGAGCAACAGCAGUAUAAGGAAGCACUAUUGGCAUAUGCUAUGUUACUCGGCAGAAAUAAGUAUCAGGU